AGCGCUGCCGGCGCUAUAUAAGGGAAAGCAAUUAUAAUAGUUUUGCCUACGGUUUUGAAUAGCCGACGCUAUAAAAUAUUCAUGGUUUACUGAUACAUACCUAUUUUAAAGUACAGUAUUCCAUAAAUGGUAGAAGAUGUUACGACGCCAGUACCGCCGGCGAUUGAAAGCGCGGACGAAUGAGUAACAAAGGGUAAGGUUAAAUCGCCGAAGUUAGAUUUCGGUAACGGCGCAAGUCGUGGGAUUACAUAGGUACAUCGGUAACGAUGUAAUUAGUAGGGCAAUUUGGAUUUAGACGCUAAAUAAUAUGUACGGUAGUAGAAUACCGGCUAUAAAUA
rnacentral:ncRNA from 1 species